GGAGGAGAUAUCUAAAAAUGAUAUUAUCUAGCAUGUUAUAUAUAUUGGCUAUUUAUAACUAUUAUUUCCAGAUAAUGGCAGAAAUAAACACAAUCAAAAUUAAAUUUUUUUGUUUUGCUCUUUAUAAAAUCUUUUUAAGGUAUUAUAGUGAAAUUGAAGAUAUUGAAAAUCUAUCAGUUGGCUGGCUUGCUGUGAUAACUGUCUAAAAUAACCAUUGAGAUCAAGCAAUGUCUCUUACACAAAAUCUAAACAAAAGAAGAAUUCCCUAUUGAUGGUUUUGCAUUAUUCCAGGAGCUCAGACCAAUUCUUCAGUGUUCCCAAAGUGGUCUGAAUUAGGCCAAAAAUCUGACUGCUUCCUCUGUGGUCUGAAUUCUACAAAUUCCUGAUCUGGGUUUGGAUCUGAUGAACAGUAAAUGCCACUAUACUCAGCCCCUAUCAAUCAUCUAGAAAAUGCCAGUUUCAAGCUGACUGAAUUGUUCUUUCCUCAGUCCUUCCUGGAUCACAGUCCUUCCUGUGUAUUUGGUGACAAAGCUGCCACUUGGAACCUGUUCCCAUUCUCUG